rnacentral:tRNA from 1 species
GUUUUAAUAAUUUAAUCCAAAAUAUUGGUCUUGUAAACCAAAAAUAAGAAAACCUUUUAAAAC